rnacentral:rRNA from 1 species
GCUGGCGGUAUGCUUAACACAUGCAAGUCGAACGGUAACAGCGGAAGCUUGCUUCCGGCUGACGAGUGGCGGACGGGUGAGUAACGCGUGGGAAUCUGCCUACUAGCGGGGGAUAGCCCGGAGAAAUCCGGAUUAAUACCGCAUACGCCCUAAGGGGGAAAGCUGGGGAUCUUCGGACCUGGCACUAGUAGAUGAGCCCGCGUUGGAUUAUCUUGUUGGUAGGGUAACGGCCUACCAAGGCGACGAUCCAUAGCUGUUCUGAGAGGAAGAUCAGCCACACUGGGACUGAGGCACGGCCCAGACUCCUACGGGAGGCAGCAGUGGGGAAUAUUGCACAAUGGGGGCAACCCUGAUGCAGCAAUACCGCGUGUGUGAAGAAGGCCUGAGGGUUGUAAAGCACUUUCAAUANUGAAGAAAAGCUCAUGGUUAAUACCCAUGGGUCUUGAC